CGGUAGGGUGCGAGCGUUGUCCGGAAUUAUUGGGCGUAAAGAGCUCGUAGGCGGCCUGUUGCGUCCGCUGUGAAAGCCCGGGGCUUAACCCCGGGUCUGCAGUGGAUACGGGCAGGCUAGAGUUCGGCAGGGGAGACUGGAAUUCCUGGUGUAGCGGUGAAAUGCGCAGAUAUCAGGAGGAACACCGGUGGCGAAGGCGGGUCUCUGGGCCGAUACUGACGCUGAGGAGACGAAAGCGGUGGGGAGCGAACAGGAUUAGACUACCCUGGUAGUCCACGACCGUAAACGGUUGGGCGCUAGGUGGUCGGGGUCCCUUCCGACGGGUUCCGUGCCGUAGCUAACGCAUUAAGCCGCCCCGCCUGGGGAGUACGGCCGCAAGGCUA
rnacentral:rRNA from 1 species